UGGGGAAUUUUGCACAAUGGGGGAAACCCUGAUGCAGCGACGCCGCGUGAUUUAGAAGGCCUUCGGGUUGUAAAAAUCUUUUCUAUGGGAAGAAAAUGACAGUACCAUAGGAAUAAGGACCGGCUAAUUACGUGCCAGCAGCCGCGGUAAUACGUAAGGUCCGAGCGUUGUCCGGAAUCAUUGGGCGUAAAGGGUACGUAGGCGGGUAAGCAAGUUAGAAGUGAAAUCCUAUAGCUCAACCAUAGUAAGCUUUUAAAACUGCUCAUCUUGAGGUAUGGAAGGGAAAGUGGAAUUCCUAGUGUAGCGGUGAAAUGCGAAGAUAUUAGGAGGAAUACCGGUGGCGAAGGCGACAUUCCGGCCAUAACCUGACGCUGAGGUACGAAAGCGUGGGUAGCAAACAGG
rnacentral:rRNA from 1 species